GAUGAAGAACGUAGCGAACUGCGAUAAGUAAUGUGAAUUGCAGAAUUCAGUGAAUCAUCGAGUCUUUGAACGCACAUUGCGCCCCCUGGCAUUCCGGGGGGCAUGCCUGUCCGAGCGUCAUUGCUGCCCUUCAAGCCCGGCUUGUGUGUUGGGUCGUCGUCCCCCCCGGGGGACGGGCCCGAAAGGCAGCGGCGGCACCGCGUCCGGUCCUCAAGCGUAUGGGGCUUUGUCACCCGCUCGAUUAGGGCCGGCCGGGCGCCAGCCGGCGUCUCCAACCUUCUAUUUUACCAGGUUGACCUCGGAUCAGGUAGGGAUACCCGCUGAACUUAAGCAUAUCAAUAAGCGGAGGA
rnacentral:misc_RNA from 1 species